CGUACGCAACCUUCCUUUAACUGGAAGAUAGCCCACCGAAAGGUGGAUUAAUACUCCAUAAUAUAUUGAAGAGGCAUCUUUUUGAUAUUAAAGCUCCGGCGGUUAAAGAUGGGCGUGCGUCUGAUUAGGUAGUUGGCGGGGUAACGGCCCACCAAGCCUUCGAUCAGUAGCUGAUGUGAGAGCAUGAUCAGCCACACGGGCACUGAGACACGGGCCCGACUCCUACGGGAGGCAGCAGUAAGGAAUAUUGGUCAAUGGACGCAAGUCUGAACCAGCCAUGCCGCGUGGAGGAUGAAGGCCCUCUGGGUUGUAAACUUCUUUUCUUUGGGACGAAACCCCUGUUUCUACGGGGACUGACGGUACCAGAGGAAUAAGCACCGGCUAACUCCGUGCCAGCAGCCGCGGUAAUACGGAGGGUGCAAGCGCUAUCCGGAUUCACUGGGUUUAAAGGGAGCGUAGGUGGGCUUUUAAGUCAGUGGUGAAAUCUUUGGGCUUAACCCGAAAACUGCCAUUGAUACUAUUAGUCUUGAAUUCUCUGGAGGUAAGCGGAAUAUGUCAUGUAGCGGUGAAAUGCUUAGAUAUGACAUAGAACACCCAUUGCGAAGGCAGCUUACUACGGAGACAUUGACACUGAGGCUCGAAAGCGUGGGGAUCAAACAGGAUUAGAUACCCUGGUAGUCCACGCCCUAAACGAUGAUUACUCGACAUUAGCGAUAUUACAGUUAGUGUCUAAGCGAAAGCAUUAAGUAAUCCACCUGGGAAGUACGACCGCAAGGUUGAAACUCAAAGGAAUUGGCGGGGGUCCGCACAAGUGGUGGAGCAUGUGGUUUAAUUCGAUACGCGAGGAACCUUACCUGGGCUAGAAUGCUGGGAGACCGCAGGUGAAAGCCUGUUUUGUAGCAAUACACUGCCAGUAAGGUGCUGCAUGGCUGUCGUCAGCUCGUGCCGUGAGGUGUUGGGUUAAGUCCCGCAACGAGCGCAACCCCUAUCUUUAGUUGCCAUCAGGUAAUGCUGGGAACUCUAAAGAAACUGCCGUCGUAAGACGUGAGGAAGGAGGGGAUGAUGUCAAGUCAUCAUGGCCUUUAUGCCCAGGGCUACACACGUGCUACAAUGGGGGGGACAAAGGGCUGCCACUUAGCGAUAAGGAGCUAAUCCCAAAAACCCUCUCUCAGUUCAGAUUGGAGUCUGCAACUCGACUCCAUGAAGCUGGAAUCACUAGUAAUCGUAUAUCAGCAAUGAUACGGUGAAUACGUUCCCGGACCUUGCACACACCGCCCGUCAAGCCAUGGAAGCUGGGUGUACCUAAAGUCGGUAACCGCAAGGAGCCGCCUAGGGUAAAACUAGUGACUGGGGCUAAGUCGAAACAAGGUA
rnacentral:rRNA from 1 species